rnacentral:tRNA from 1 species
GCUGUAGUAACUCAAUUGGUAGAGUGGCUGCCUUCCAAGCAGCAUGUUGGGGGUUCGAAUCCCCCCUACGGCUCCA